rnacentral:rRNA from 1 species
CCAUGCCGUAAACGGUGGGCGCUAGGUGUGGGUUUCCUUCCACGGGAUCCGUGCCGUAGCUAACGCAUUAAGCGCCCCGCCUGGGGAGUACGGCCGCAAGGCUAAAACUCAAAGGAAUUGACGGGGGCCCGCACAAGCGGCGGAGCAUGUGGAUUAAUUCGAUGCAACGCGAAGAACCUUACCUGGGCUUGACAUAUACAAGAUCGCGCCAGAGAUGGUGUUUCCCUUGUGGUUUGUAUACAGGUGGUGCAUGGUUGU